rnacentral:rRNA from 1 species
CAAAGAAAAAGAACAUGACGAAGAUUCGCAUAGCAGCAGCAACGAAAACAAGAAUAGCAAUCCGAAAGCUAGUGU